AUUUAAUCACAUUGAAAGGAAACAAAGAUUAUUUAACAAUAAAAACCACCCUCAACCAAAACCCAAGAAGAUUACAGGAUGGAUGGAAAUCUUAGGCAGAAACUAAACCUGGCUCGACUAGGCUCGACACUACACGUGGGCGUGGGCUACCAUUGCUUGGAUUAAGAUUUAUUACUUAAAAUUGCUAGAAAAACAUGGUUUUAGGUAAAGAAGAUGGUACAGGAAAGCACAAGACAGAAAAGGACUCACUAAGACCAGGACCAAAGGGCAUUGUCUUCAAUGGGGAAUACAAAAUUACAAGAACUUGUGGGCGGGUCGGAGUAAUCGACAUCUUCGAGCUUUGGGAAGAUGUAAGGGGGCAAUAGAUUCUUUCCCAAGUUAUCUUCUUCGUCUUGCGAUAAGUCG
rnacentral:misc_RNA from 1 species